AAAAUGGUUACUCUUACACAAUACAGCGAUGAGCUAGUUCUCAACAAAUGUUAUCCGGAUGGAUGGUGAUAAAGUAUCUAUCAUAUGAGAAUCCCUUAGCCAAUCUCCUUUUCCGAACAUCAAUCUAGCUUCUUUUUUUUUUUUGGUUCUUCGUUCUAGUCCCUGAGAAAAGAAAACGGAAAAACAGGAAAUCUGCUGUGAUAGAAAUUCCAGUUUGUAGCAGGAAAUGGUUUAUUCCUUGUUGGUGUCUUACUUCCUUUCCGUUUCUAUCUAGUGUGUUGCUUCGCUUAGCCUCUGUUUUCUUUUCUCAUUUUCUCAAUUCAUUGCUUUUCUCUGUUUGUGUGUUACUGCAUCUUGGUCACUGCCUCCCUGUAGUUAGCCUUUACAGAGGACUUUUCGACUCUCUCUUGAUUUCUUCUUUUCCACAGGGUUGUACUUUGCGAUGAAGGUGCAAAAAAAAUAGUACUCCUUUCUUUGCCUUUUGCAUUCGUUACACAUCAGUUUAUAAACAAAAAAUUAAGAUAAAAGGGAAUCUAAUAAAUUUCCUGGGUAAUUGCUUCGGCAUAAUGAAUUCUCAUCCUUACCAUGUGUUGCAAGUGUGGCUUGGAUAAUUAAUCAGUGGCUGUAACAGGCGAGAGGAAAAUUCAGGGGAGGGAUGAAGACACUGGCAUGGAAAUUGAACCGACAGUACCACAAAGGAAGAAACAGAUGAGUGACUCAUCAUCACUAAUGAGGUAACUCACCAAGUUGAGCUGUUGAGGUGGAGGGAACCAGCCUUACUAGGUCCCCCAUGAACCAUCAAAGUAUUAGGUUCUGCUGGAAGCUCCUUGACAGUUUUCCAGCUCAAGAAAGUCGGUAGACUCCACUCCCCACG
rnacentral:lncRNA from 1 species